rnacentral:rRNA from 1 species
GUGUCAGCCGCCGCGGUAAUACGUAGGGUCCAAGCGUUAAUCGGAAUUACUGGGCGUAAAGCGUGCGCAGGCGGUUAUACAAGACAGGCGUGAAAUCCCCGGGCUUAACCUGGGAAUGGCGCCUGUGACUGUAUAGCUAGAGUGUGUCAGAGGGGGGUAGAAUUCCACGUGUAGCAGUGAAAUGCGUAGAUAUGGGGAGGAAUACCAAUGGCGAAGGCAGCCCCCUGGGACAACACUGACGCUCAUGCACGAAAGCGUGGGGAGCAAACAGGAUUAGAAACCCUUGUAGUCC